rnacentral:misc_RNA from 1 species
GAUGAAGAAACGUAGCGAAAUGCGAUAAGUAAUGUGAAUUGCAGAAUUCAGUGAAUCAUCGAAUCUUUGAACGCACAUUGCGCCCUCUGGUAUUCCGGGGGGCAUGCCUGUUCGAGCGUCAUUAUAACCACUCAAGCUCUCGCUUGGUAUUGGAGUUCGCGAUCUCGCGGCUCCUAAAAUCAGUGGCGGUGCCUGUCGGCUCUACGCGUAGUAAUACUCCUCGCGAUUGAGUCCGGUAGGUUUACUUGCCAGCAACCCCCAAUUUUUACAGGUUGACCUCGGAUCAGGUAGGGAUACCCGCUGAACUUAAGCAUAUCAAUAAGCGGAGGA